AACGAACGCUGGCGGCGCGCCUAAUACAUGCAAGUCGAGCGAGAAGACGUAGCAAUACGUUUGUAAAGCGGCGAACGGGUGAGGAAUACAUGGGUAACCUACCCUCGAGUGGGGAAUAACUAGCCGAAAGGUUAGCUAAUACCGCGUACGCUCCUUGGACUUCGGUUCAGGGAGGAAAGCGAUACCGUGGGUAUCGCGCUCUUGGAUGGGCUCAUGUCCUAUCAGCUUGUUGGUGAGGUAACGGCUCACCAAGGCUUCGACGGGUAGCUGGUCUGAGAGGACGAUCAGCCACACUGGCACUGCGACACGGGCCAGACUCCUACGGGAGGCAGCAGUAAGGAAUAUUGGACAAUGGGCGCAAGCCUGAUCCAGCCAUGCCGCGUGAGUGAUGAAGGCCCUAGGGUUGUAAAGCUCUUUUGUGCGGGAAGAUAAUGACGGUACCGCAAGAAUAAGCCCCGGCUAACUUCGUGCCAGCAGCCGCUG
rnacentral:rRNA from 1 species